GAUGAACGCUGGCGGCGUGCCUAAUACAUGCAAGUCGAGCGAACAGACGAGGAGCUUGCUCCUCUGACGUUAGCGGCGGACGGGUGAGUAACACGUGGAUAACCUACCUAUAAGACUGGGAUAACUUCGGGAAACCGGAGCUAAUACCGGAUAAUAUAUUGAACCGCAUGGUUCAAUAGUGAAAGACGGUUUUGCUGUCACUUAUAGAUGGAUCCGCGCGGCAUUAGCUAGUUGGUAAGGUAACGGCUUACCAAGGCAACGAUGCGUAGCCGACCUGAGAGGGUGAUCGGCCAAACUGGAACGGAGACACGGUCAAGAAUCCUACGGGAGGCAGCAGUAGGGAAUCUUCCGCAAUGGGCGAAAGCCUGACGGAGCAACGCCGCGCGAGUGAUGAAGGUCGUCGGAUCGUAAAACUCUGUUAUUAGGGAAGAACAAAUGUGUAAGUAACUAUGCACGUCUUGACGGUACCUAAUCAGAAAGCCACGGCUAACUACGUG
rnacentral:rRNA from 1 species